UUCUAACCUCACUAGAUUAAUUUAUACAUUCUCUCUCUCUCUCUCUCUCUCUCUCUCUCUGUUUGCAGAAUUGAAACAGGUGCAUUUUGACCAUAACUCUCCAUCAUUCAAACCUGCUGUAUUCCUCACAUUCUCAUGGGAAUACCUGCUGCUGGAUUCACACAGCAUAUUCUCUGAACCACAGUGGACCGUUCCUCCCUCCAUGCCUCAUAGAACUUAUUUCAAAUGUUGCAAAAAAUGAAAGCAGACGGCAGAAAGAGUGCAGCUACAAUUAAUUCAUGACUACUGCAGACCGAUCACUCAUGUAUUACGGGCUCCUGGGGUUUGGCCUUCAAAGGCGCAGAAUUACUCAGUGGGAGAGCUUUUGAUAAUGCAAGCUGAAAAUUUUUCUGUAAAGAUGGAUAAUUGAAAAUGUCUUGAUACUGUGCGCACAAAUUUCGUGCACUAUGUCUGCCCCAAUAAUAACAACUUGAGUUCCUCAUGCUUUGUUUAAUUGUGCCCUGUUUUAGUUUAGUGCUCCACCCACAUCCUACUCUAGUAAAGCAAUAAGAUGUGUGACAUCAGCAGUGGAAUUCUGAGAUACGGGAAAUGAAAAGACUUCUUUAAUCAGAUAAAGUCAUUCCUCCUGAUAACAUCGCAUCUGGAGGAGUCCUGACAGCGCUGCCAGCCGACAUUGGAUUGUGGGGCCAGACAGCAAAAAUGAGCCUCUAGAUUUGAUCUUUUACCCACCCAGCCUUUGAAGAGAUUAUGAGCACAUGGACAAGAUUUUCCUCAACUGCGUUUCUGUAGAGAAGACAAGCAGUCAGAAUUCCAGAUGUCAUUGAGUUGGCCUGAACAUAGAGAAUGACACAUCAGCAGUGAAGAUUUCAACUAAAUUUUGCAUGUGAAGCUGAAAGACCAGCAGGUAAUGCUACUCAAGAUGUUCUGAGGUGUAGCUGGAGGCAUGUCAGAAGGAAGUUAGAAGAGAGGUGAUUAUGGUGCAUGUAAACUUUUGAAAUACCCUGCCUUGAGAACAUCUAGACACACUAAGAACUCUUUUAAUAUGUUCACUACCAGUUUCUACAUCAAAAACAUUAGCCUCCAGCCCCCAUCAUUAUCACAACAACAAAAAGAAAAGAAGAGAAGAGAAUAGAACAAAUAACUGAAAAGAGCUCAGCAGGAAAACUAUUCUUGGCUAGACUUCAUGUUGCUAAAAUGGGUCCGUGAUAAAUGCAUUUCAGCAAAAGAAAGGCAUCGAUCCAUGAGAAAUUACCCAUAUAAAGGAAUUAGACUUCCUUGGAAAAAUGUUCCAACUUCAUCUCAGCUGUGUGAGUGCUUUUUCAAUUGUCCAGAGAUAACUUGCCAAGAGAAGUAGCAUAGAAAUGUCAUGGAACCGUGACAAUACCUGCUUAGUACAGAAAGGAAGUUGAACAGCUUACUUCGCAGCGACUUCAACCCCUUCCCGCUGGAUGCGUUCUGGCUCGAUAUCCCCAAAUUUCCCGCACACCGAAUGUCUUGGGCGAGUGCCAGAUUACUGUUUUGUCAGUUGCUGGGAAAGGCUCCAAGACAGCAGAUCUGCUGUUUGUAUACUUUCUGAACUCAUCAUCAUUCCCAGGUCUCCAUAUGGAGUAUGGGAUCACUGA